UACGUAGGGGGCUAGCGUUGUCCGGAUUUCUUGGGCGUAAAGAGCGUGUAGGCGGCCCGGUAGGUCUGCUGUGAAAACUCGAGGCUCAACCUCGAGACGUCGGCGGAAACCAUCUGGCUAGAGUCCGGAAGAGGAGAGUGGAAUUCCUGGUGUAGCGGUGAAAUGCGCAGAUAUCAGGAAGAACACCCGUGGCGAAGGCGGCCUGCUGGGCAGUUUAGCUGACACUGAGGCGCGACAGCGUGGGGAGCAAACAGG
rnacentral:rRNA from 1 species